rnacentral:lncRNA from 1 species
UCCCACCCUCUGCAGACUGCCAUCCAUGUGGCUCAUCACUGUGACUCAGGGUUUGGUCAUCCAACCAUGUAGAGAUCACUACCAUUCCACAAGUGUUCCCUGCCCUCCUUCUGUCUGUGAGGUCCUCUGUCCCAUCCUGAGGACACAGAGAUCUACUGGGUAUGUUUCCAGCUUUCCAGGAGAGACCACAGAGCCUGGUGAGGGAAAUACACCUGCAAAGAGAACUUCAGUGCAGUAACAGCAACGGGCAUAGCCGGUGUGUUCACCAACUAAUGAGAGAUCACACUACCAACAUCUCCCACUUGAUUUUCCGCAUCAACUAACAGCUUAUCAUGGAAAUUAUCCCUUUGGUAGAGUGAAAUAUAAUUUGGCGAGGAAGAUCAACAUGUAGGCCUAGACCAAGACGAAGUUUACAACCUCCUGAGCUGAUUGGGAGUAUGCAGUCUUGCUCUGUCACCCAGGCUGGAGUGCAGUGGUGUGAUCUCGGCUCACUGCAACCUCCGCUUCCCGUGUUCAAGCGAUUCUCCUGCCUCAGCCUCCCAAGUAGCUGGGAUUACAGGCAUGCGCCACCACGCCCGGGUAAUUUUUGUAUUCUUAGUAGAGACAAGGUUUCACUGUGUUUGCUAGGCUGGUCUCGAACUCUUGACCUCGUGAUCUGCUUGCCUUGGCUUCCCAAAGUGCUGGGCAUGAACCACUGCGCCCGGCCAAAACUUUUUAUUUAUACACACACAACCACAGUCCCAGGAGCCCAGUGAUGAGGAGCCUCGAGAGGAACCACCAACUGAAAGUCGGGAUCCUACACCUGGUCAGAAGAGGGAAGAUCAGGGUGCAGCUGAUAUUCAAGGUGGUGGGAAGGGAAAGAAAGAACGUCUAUGGGGGGAGGAGGCCUAUGUGUGCAUCAUGCAUUAUGCCAUGACCGGUAACAGGAGGAAAGAAAACAUUAGGAAAGGAUCGCAAACAUUUGCUGAAAGUUGGCUGGAAAAGUGAAGAGUACAGUUUACAGCUUCAUGCAGUCCCUGGAUAUAAGGAAUCUUCUCCUAACUUUGAAAUAUAUUUUGUGCCUCCCUCUCCCUCUCCCUCUCCAUCUCCCUCUCCCUCUCCCCACGGUCUCCCUCUCUUUCCACGGUCUCCCUCUCAUGCGGAGCCGAAGCUGGACUGUACUGCUGCCAUCUCGGCUCACUGCAACCUCCCUGCCUGAUUCUCCUGCCUCAGCCUGCCGAGUGCCUGCGAUUGCAGGCACGCGCCGCCACGCCUGACUGGUUUUGGUGGAGACGGCGUUUCGCUGUGUUGGCCGGGCUGGUCUCCAGCCUCUAACCGCGAGUGAUCCGCCAGCCUCGGCCUCCCGAGGUGCUGGGAUUGCAGACGGAGUCUCGUUCACUCAGUGCUCAAUGGUGCCCAGGCUGGAGUGCAGUGGCGUGAUCUCGGCUUGCUACAACCUACACCUCCCAGCCGCCUGCCUUGGCCUCCCAAAGUGCCGAGAUUGCAGCCUCUGCCCGGCCGCCACCCCGUCUGGGAAGUGAGGAGCGUCUCUGCCUGGCCGCCCAUCGUCUGGGAUGUGAGGAGCCCCUCUGCCUGGCUGCCCAGUCUGGAAAGUGAGGAGCGUCUCUGCCCGGCCGCCAUCCCAUCUAGGAAGUGAGGAGCGCCUCUUCCCAGCCGCCAUCACAUCUAGGAAGUGAGGAGCGUCUCUGCCCGGCCGCCCAUCGUCUGAGAUGUGGGGAGCGCCUCUGCCCCGCCGCCCCAUCUGGGAGGUGAGGAGCGUCUCUGCCUGGCCGCCCCAUCUGAGAAGUGAGGAGACCCUCUGCCUGGCAGCUGCCCCGUCUGAGAAGUGAGGAGCCUCUCCGCCCGGCAGCCACCCCAUCUGGGAAGUGAGGAGCGUCUCCGCCCGGCAGCCACCCCGUCCGGGAGGGAGGUGGGGGGGGGUCCACCCCCCGCCCGGCCAGCCGCCCCGUCCGGGAGGGAGGUGGGGGGGUCAGCCCCCCGCCCGGCCAGCCGCCCCGUCCGGGAGGGAGGUGGGGGGGUCAGCCCCCCCGCCUGGCCAGCCGCCCCGUCCGGGAGGGAGGUGGGGGGGUCAGCCCCCCGCCCGGCCAGCCGCCCCGUCCGGGAGGUGAGGGGCGCCUCUGCCCGGCCUCCCCUACUGGGAAGUGAGGAGCCCCUCUGCCCGGCCACCACCCCGUCUGGGAGGUGUACCCAACAGCUCAUUGAGAACGGGCCAUGAUGACAAUGGUGGUUUUGUGGAAUAGAAAGGCGGGAAAGGUGGGGAAAAGAUUGAGAAAUCGGAUGGUUGCCGUGUCUGUGUAGAAAGAAGUAGACAUGGGAGACUUUUCAUUUUGUUCUGCACUAAGAAAAAUUCUUCUGCCUUGGGAUCCUGUUGAUCUGUGACCUUACCCCCAACCCUGUGCUCUCUGAAACAUGUGCUGUGUCCACUCAGGGUUAAAUGGAUUAAGGGCGGUGCAAGAUGUGCUUUGUUAAACAGAUGCUUGAAGGCAGCAUGCUCGUUAAGAGUCAUCACCAAUCCCUAAUCUCAAGUAAUCAGGGACACAAACACUGCGGAAGGCCGCAGGGUCCUCUGCCUAGGAAAACCAGAGACCUUUGUUCACUUGUUUAUCUGCUGACCUUCCCUCCACUAUUGUCCCAUGACCCUGCCAAAUCCCCCUCUGUGAGAAACACCCAAGAAUUAUCAAUAAAAAAAUAAAUUAAAAAAAAAAAUAAAAUGUCGCCUGUCAAGCGACUGCUUAUGAAGGGUUAUUCCUCAACUAAAUAUUUCUAAAUGAGUCUGAGGUCUGUUGGCCUUCAAUCUCUACCAAAACCCAGAGAACUUGAUGAUGCCUUUGUUUUCAGAGAAUCCUUCCAGUGUGCUGGCUGACAGUUCCAUGAGGAUGGCAAAAGUGAAGAAAUUGUAGCGCCAGUAAAAAAGAGAUGGAUACACUUCUU